CCCAAAAAUACCCCAACUGCAAGGUUACAGGGAUUUGUAAUUCCGGCACACAAAAAGCUUUUAUAGAGGAGCAAUGCCGGGAUGGAGAAUUACAGAAUGUGGAGAUCAUUGUUGCAGACAUAAGCACGUUUGAAAUGGGGGCGUCAUACGAUAGGAUAUAUUCCAUUGGAAUGUUUGAGCAUAUGAAGAACUACGAGGAUCUUCUGAAGAAGAUAUCGAAAUGGAUGAAACAGGAUAGUCUUCUUUUUGUUGAUUAUUUCUGCCAUAAAGCAUUUGCUCACCACUUUGAGGACAACAGUGAAGAUGACUGGAUAACUAGGUACUUCUUCACAGGAGGUACAAUGCCUUCUGAUAAU